GGUCCCGUAGCUCAACUGGAUAGAGCAUCUGCCUUCUAAGCAGACGGUUUCGGGUUCGAGUCCCGACGGGACUGCAA
rnacentral:tRNA from 1 species